AACGCACAUUGCGCCCCUCGGUAUUCCGUGGGGCAUGCCUGUUCGAGCGUCAUCUACACCCUCAAGCUCUGCUUGGUGUUGGGCGUCUGUCCCGCCUUGUGCGCGGACUCGCCUCAAAGCGAUUGGCGGCUAGUACUACGGCCUGGAGUGCAGCAGAAUUGCGCUCCUCGUCCGCGGUCUGGCUCCCAGAAGCAAACCUUUUUUACUUGUUUGACCUCGAAUCAGGUAGGGAUACCCGCUGAACUUAA
rnacentral:misc_RNA from 1 species